CAUGAGCCUCAUUUAUGGGGGCCAUGGAUGUCAGAAAAGUUACCCCGGGGAUAACUGAGUCGUCUCCGGCUAGAGUUCCUAUCGACCCGGAGGCUUGCUACUUCGACGUCGGCUCUUCCUAUCCUGGUGGUGCAUGAGCUGCCAAGGGUGGGGUUGUUCGCCCAUUAAAAGGGAUCGUGAGCUGGGUUCAGACCGUCGUGAGACAGGUUUGUUGCUUUUUGGUGGAAGCGCUUUGAUGCCUGAGGGGAAGGUCCCUUAAGUACGAGAGGAACGGGGGAUCGGCGCCUCUAGUGUAUGGGUUGUCUGGCAAGGCAGUGCCCAGCAGCCACGCGCCACGCGGAUAACGGCUGAAAGCAUCUAAGCCGGAAACCGCCCUCAAGACGAGGCAUCUUACCGCCGUCGUAAUCGACGACGUCGAUAGAGCGGGGGUGUACGCACGAAGCUCGCAAGGGCGACGUGUUCAGCCCGCCGCCACUAACCGCGGUAGCCACAUUUGCA
rnacentral:ncRNA from 1 species